rnacentral:rRNA from 1 species
UACAGAGGGGGCAAGCGUUAUUCGGAAUUAUUGGGCGUAAAGGGCGCGUAGGCGGCUUGGCAAGUGGAAGGUGAAAUCCCUCGGCUUAACCGAGGAACUGCCCUCCAAACUGCUUGGCUUGAGACCGGGAGAGGUGAGUGGAAUUCCCAGUGUAGCGGUGAAAUGCGUAGAUAUUGGGAAGAACACCGGUGGCGAAGGCGGCCAUCUGGACCGCAACUGACGCUGAGGCGCGAAAGCGUGGGGAGCAAACAGGG